GCGGCCCGGGCGCUCCGGCUGCGGGGCCGGUGAAGGCGGUCUGACGGAAUUUUCCUGCUGAGAACUUCACCGCCGCCGCCGCCGCGCCCCCGAGGCCCGCCGCCGCCCGCUAACGGGACCCCCGCGAGCGCGUGAGGGCCCUGGGCCGCGGGCCGGCGGCGGCGGCCCCUCAGUAUGGCCCGCGGGGGUCCCUCCCGGCCCCGAGCGGCGGCGGCGCCUGCACCGCGGAGUCCGCGCGGCUCUCGUGAGCCCGGCCAGGACUCGGGGCCACACGGCGGGCGGCCGACUCCAACGUUGAGCGCAGGCCGGCGGGCGGGUGGUGGCCGCUCCGGACGCUCCAGCUGCACUUGCUCCGGGCGCUGGUGCUCGCAUCUGCUACUUCCCUGCGGCAAAUAGGACACGCGCAUUUUUCGGCUAACCAGCGAUCGAUGCAGUAGAUAUGAAAACUGUGGGAGCAAGUCCUCUAGAUUCGUCAUCAUCAUAUAAAAUGAACUGUUCCAGAUCAAUGGACGGCCAAGAGUUACUUUCUUCAAAUAUUAUUGGGGUCAUUUGUCUGCUCUGUUCGAAGGGCGCUGUUGGUGGGCCUGGUGAUAAGCUGCUUUCAUCACUGUCGUCAAACGUCACUGAACUAAUUUCUGAAUUUGCAUCACUGGAGCUGGAACUGGACAUAGGGCUGGAAUUGCUUAUAGGCCCACAACUAGAGCUUGAAGUACAAAUUAUUGUAGAAGUCGAAGAGGAAUCCCAUCUAGGAUAUGAAUUGAAACGAGAACUCCUGCUGUCCUCAGAGCUCUCUCUUGCAUAUGGUGACAGGCCUUUCCACGUCUGGAAUUGAACGUGAGACACGAGGUUCUAAAUCACUGUCACUGUCUGUAAGGUUCCUUGAAUAACUGAAUCCUGUCAUGGACCUGCUGUUAUUUGCACCAGAUGCAGUAUCAUUUAAAUCAAUAUUUAAAAUUCUGUGACCAGGACUUCUGAUGGUACUGACAUGAGCUCUUGCAUCUACCUGCUCAGAAUGUGAGAACAUAUGCCUAUGUCUUCAUUCAUUUUCUAAGGUGACAUUUGGUAUCUCAGAUGUUAAUUGAGCUCUAUAAGCUGUGCUGUCUAAAAGACCCCUGUCUGGCGGCUCACACUCAGGUAUUUGCUGCCUUGGUGUUACUUCAGCUUGAGGACUCUGUCUCAUUUACCAGAGGCUGCUCAGCAGUCUGAGGUAAUACAGCAUCAUGAUUUCCAAAAAGUUCUCUCAGUGAAUCCAGAGCUGACAUACUUAACAGUCCUUGCUCUGGUUCUCCGAGGGUCUGGGUGGUUCUCCGAAGGUCUGGAUGGUUCUCCAGCUUCUCCGAUGGUCUGGGUGAUUCUCCAAGGGUCUGGGUGCUUUUCCGAGGGUCUGGGUUCUUCUCCGAAGGUCCGGGUGGUUCUCCGAUGGUCUAGGCUCCUGCUGCUGCUUCUUUGCUGACCUCUGGUAGGUGGGACUUGCAUCAGUGGUUUAUUUGUUCUUCCUUCUGAUCUAGAUGGUCUUGCAAAUGAUGAUUCCGAUUGUGGAUUUUCCAUUUGCCUUGAGCUGUUUUCCAAACUUUCUUGGGAAAGUCUUGUGCGUAGUCUAUAUUCAUUCUCUGGAUUUGGGCUCCCAUCAUUAAUGUUAUUUAUAGCAGUUAUUUGUAAAUUGAGUACAAAAUUGUUCCUGGUGGGAAUAUCUGGCUUGCUCCUCCCCAAGGCUGGUUUUCUCUGUGCCCACUUCUCACAUUUUGAGUUUGUUCUGAAGAGAUAAGCCAUUCAUUCUAUUAAAGAGCCGUCACUCUCCUCAUCAUUGGAAGACUGUAUCUACUAACAAAAUGGGGUAGGGGAGCAGAAACGUAAAACCAAAUAGAGCCAUCACAAAAUAGCACUCUGAAACUUUUUUUCAAAAACACAGAGAAAACGAGAAAUUAAGUACUCGGAUAUUUUAAACAGAUUUCACAUUUAUAGAGUUAAUGUUUUGUAAACUAUACUGUCUAGAUUUACAAAUAAAGGGAGGAAAGUUUCAAUUCCAUCUGAAAAGAGCAAACUAAUCCUAGAUGAUUUAGAAAAUUGUUUUUAAAGAAAUCUGGUGGAAGUCUGUAUUUUAUCAUAUACACAACCUUGUGCACCACUGUGAGAGGAAUGUCAAGAAACAUUUUUUCACUCUACUGUCAAAACACUAAUGCAAUUAAACAAGGUAAAUGCCAGUUAAGGUACAACACUAGUAUUUUAGUUCAGUUUGCAUUGUGGUCUAAUUCUCAUUAGUCUACAACGUUACUUACUCUAGGUUCUCGACUUAAGUACUUUUGAUAAUAUAUAAAGGUUUUAAAAAAUAUAAGAAUGUUGUAGUCAUUGCCCAAAUAUAAACAAGGUUUAUAGGUUUAAAAGUAUUUGACUACUUCUUAAAGUUACCAAGCUUUUGCAGUGAAGUAAAAUUGAAGGUCGGAUCAAAUGACUAGACUGACCCUAGCAUAAUACAUAAAAAACCAUAUUCAAGAACCAAACUAUUUCAGUAUUCUUUUCAUUAGUAAAAUUCUCUGCUUUGAACUAGGAGAGAAGCACCAGACCUGAGGUUACAGCGGGGUUCCUCACCCUCAGGAGUAGUCACGUGGUGGUGCUGGACAUUUAUUUGUUUUGGGGGCUGUGCUGUGCAUUGCGGGAUGCUUAGCAGCAUCCUUUGGCCUCUGCCAACUAGUUGCCAGUAAUACCCCCUCUCUACGUGUGACAACCAAAAGUAUCUCCAGACAUUGUCAAGUGUCUCCUGGGUGGGGAGUGUAGGGGGCAACAUUGCCCCCAGUUGAGAACCACUUGAUUAGAGUAUGAAAUAUUUCUUUUUACUGGUGAGGAAGUUACAUGUCUACUUAGAAAAAAAUAUUCAGGGAGUAGGAGGAACUCUCAGUUGAGGUGGAAAACCAAGACAAAUAUCAAGAAGCUAUUUCACACAGUUUCCCAAUUAAAACAGCCCAAAUGUGAAUCAGGAAAAAAACCUACCUUGACAUUUCUCACCAAAAAUCAAGUAAAUGCCAGUUUUUUAAUGAAAAGGAAGUUGGUAUCAAAUUAAUUUGUACCACUUCUUCAUAAUCUUUGGUUGACAUUUACUAUUACAAAGUUUCUUAACCAUCUCAUCUGAUUCCUGCCCCCCACCCCCUGCAAAGUGAAUAUACCUUUGUUUUCACCUGAGUGCUGUGGUGGGUUUUCUUUUAUGAACUGAAGUCCCUUCAGCAGUUCUUCUUCCGUACUUUCCCCUGCAGUUUCUAACAAAUUGUUAUCCUUCAUAAGUUUGUAAACGUCUUCACUGAGGUCACUUACAAAUUCAUAGAAAUGUUCCUCCCAAACCAGUUGGCCCAUCUGAGUUUUCUGCUCAUCCACAGAAUCGUCUUAAUUGUUGGGACCUGAAUUUUCCUUCUUGGUGAACAAGUGGAAAAUUACCCGCCUCUUACGACACAGUGUAACUGGAAUUUAGUUUCCUUCACUCUCUGCUUCAGUUGGGUGUCAGGAUGCGCCUCGGUCGGAUCCUUACCACCUCUCCUUCCACAGUGCCGCAGCUUCUGAUGGGUCUGUGGUUGAGACCCACCUCUAGCCCAGGGCUUGGUAGGUUCCAUUGCCUUAGGUGCCCAUCAUUACCAAAUAGGUUCUGGAUUCCAGGGAGGAGGGUGUUAUUUUAUGUUCAGUGACAGCCACCACAUGAUUUCACUUAUUUGUGGGAUGUAGAAACAAGGCAAAAACUCGUAGGCACUGAGAAGUGUCUAGUGGUCACGGACACUGAGAAGUGACUUGUGGCUAC